rnacentral:lncRNA from 10 species
ACUACCUACCUUAUGGAAGCAUAUGAGGAUUGUGUGAAAUCAUCCAUGUAGCCCUUCCACCGCCACGUGGAGUUUGGCAUGGAGCAGUUUCUAAAUGGAAGUCAUCUUGAUCAGGUGGGCUGCCAACCUCUCUGAGCCUCAGUUUGCUCUUCUAGGGAAUGGGGACAAUGCAAUGGGAAUCUGAGGAUUGUGUGAAAUUGUGCAAAUGCAUGAAUGUGGGCUGGGAUAGUAAAAGGGAGGGCCCCGGAGCAGCCCACCUGGGGUCCUAUCUAGUGGACGCGCCCGGUGCCCACCCAUUGCUGUGAUGCCAGCAGCCCACUGCAAGCAUCCUCUUCCUUUCCAAGGUUCUCUCUGGUACAUGAAUAGGUGUGGCAGGGGUGGGGGCUCCUGAAGACCAACUAGGGGUACUAGGGACCUUAGACUCUUGCGAGAGCCUGCACCCCAUAUCAGGUGGGGUCAAUAGAUAAAUACCCCUGCCUCCUUGCCCCUUAGUUCUGGUGUGGUGGGCAAGUCAGAGGAACUGUUCUUCUCACACUUUCACGUGCUCUCGGUGGAGAUCUGGUUCAAAGGCAGAGGUCUGGGCUGGGGUCUGUGAUUGUGCAUCUCCAACCAGCUCCUGGGGGAUUGGCUCUUGCCGAUGGUCCACGGGCCACACUGAGGAGCGAGGCGUCAUAGCUGCCCAGAGGUUCCCGGUGGAACUGAGCCCUGGUUGCCGGCCAUAGAAACCUUCUCGCUAACCUGAACCAGCUCCUUCUCAAGUUCCCGGUCUCAACCUCCCUUCCUGGGACUGCAUUCCGAAUAAACCACUUCCACUUGGAUCCUGUUUGGGGAUCCAACCUCAGGUGACGCUCCCGCACUCCACCUAUCAGCCGAUGGCCUCGAGCAAGUCACUUGGCCUCUCUGAGCCUCAGUUUCCUUAAUCUUCAAAUGGAGAUGGUAACCAGGAUGUGCAGAAGAUGGCAUGAAUGAACACGCGCAAGGAACCGGAAAUGCUAGCACCAGCGCCGAUGUUUGCCCAGCUGUGCUGUAGAAAAGCAAGGCUGAUCCGCGUUGCCACAGGGUUG